UUAUAUAUGGUUUAAAUUUAAAAAUUUAGUUUCUGUCCCAUUCCAGCCCUUCCAAGCUACACCUGUGGGAAUCCAGGUCAACUGGUGAAUGGCAUCCAGCAGGGCUCUACUUUUAACAUCGGGGACAAGAUCCGCUACAGCUGCAACCAGGGUUAUGUGCUGGAGGGCCACACCGUGCUUUCCUGCCUGGCUACUUCCUCCGGCACUGCUGCCUGGGACUUCCCCCUGCCAUACUGCCGAGGUGUUAGCAGUUCAUGGAUUUGCUGAGUCCCGAUCCAACCAUAUGUCUCCAGUUGCUCAUUCUUACAUCUUACAUUUUUAUUUUACUUUAUUUUUAUUUAUUUAG
rnacentral:lncRNA from 1 species